AAUGACCCAGCCUGCCUGGGCAAGCUUCACGCUUGGGGACCGGUCUUUCCUGCCAAGGGACCGGUUGCCCCGCGCUGCGCGACCCUCAGCCUCGGGGCAACCGGUCCCUCACUGUCUGGGACCGGUCCCCGAGAGCAGGCUCGCGCAGACCACGUUCGGGAACCGGUCCCUCCCGCCAGGGACCGGUCCCCGAGAGCAAAUCUGCCAAGUGCAGAUUCUUGCACCAUUUGCUCUCGCGGACUCCAUUACAAUGCACUUUUGGUGCAUUUGACUUCUUUGGCUUUUCCAAAGUACUUCCACUCGACAAGUAGUCUAUCCUGAGCGAAG
rnacentral:lncRNA from 1 species